rnacentral:lncRNA from 1 species
GAAGAUCCGUAGGAGAGAGAAUUGCUUUUGUUGAAAAAGCUUAAAUAAAAAAAGCUCUUGCUCACGAAUCCCUUUCAGGUGCAGAUGAAUAUGCUGUUUAGCUUGGGACUAGGGCUUGUGAUCCUUCUCUUCAUGGUAGAACAAAAAUAACAAAGGAGCUCUCCUAAGCAAGCUGUAGAGUCGUAGACCAUUGCUUUAAAGA